AUGCAGUGUAGAUGGGACAGGAGGCAGCCAGGGGGACAGAGCACGCUGAGAACUGUGCCAUGCUGCACGCAGCGCCCACACCGGACGGUUCACCAGGCUCUGCUCCACAGAAAUCUCAGAAGAAGCUUAAAACUACAAAACAGCAGUAAAGGAAGGCAGAUGUCACUUUCCAGCUCCACUGGCCGCUCCAACAUGGGGCCCAGUGGGUGGGGCAGAGGCCCAGGGCUGCGUCCCUUCUGCCUUCCUCCCAUCACCCACCUGGGCCACAUCCUCUCCGCCCACCGGGGUACCCACAGCCAUGCGCUCUGCUCAGCAGCGCCCGCCCUCAAGUGCGGUGAGGGCGUGGGGACAGGCAAGGAAGAGGCGACAGCGCUCACAUCGGAGGUGACGAGGCUCCCGGAUGCCGGCAUGGAGGGGAGCCAGGAUUGCAACAGCUGGAGAGUGGGUUUGUAGUUCCUGACUCACAGGCUCCUCUCCUUCCUGUCCCUCUGUGAGUGACUCGGAGGGAAGGUCAAGACCCACCUGAAGCCAGGGAGAAGCAGAGAUCCUCCUGUCUCAGCCUGCCCAGCCCUGACACUGUGGCCCAGCCUCAGAGCCACUGGGUCCAAAGCUUACCUCAGUGGGUCCUACUGAGUCUCCCCAACUCCUUGAAAGGGGGAGGCUACAGUGCCCGGACUCCCAACUCCAGUCCUGCCCCAUCCAAUACCCUAACCCUGCUUGCCAUCCGCACUCCAACAAGCCCCCAAGAGUUAAAUGGGGUCUCCUCUCUCAGUAAGGGUCUUGCAAUUAAAUCAGAGCCAAUGUCGCUUCCCAGAGUAGGAGCUGCAGGGCCUGCAGGCUAAACGCAACAGUGGAGUCUCCCCUGGGGAUCCACUCUCCACCAGCCCAAGUACUAGUCACAGCCUCCCAAGCAGGCAAGGAAGCCUUACUGUCCCUACCAGCAGCUGAGAAAGAAAUGAACAUGCAGCCUAACCUUGACUAAUGAGAGCUGGGGGCAAGUUGUCUGGGUUCACUUUCAGGGAAAAGUUUUCUUUUUUUUUUUUUUCAGCUUUAAUUGAGUUUAUUGGUACAUUUUAGGGAUACAGUACAGUUGCAUUCAUUGUUGGGAUCUUGUACCUCUACAUGACAAGUCUUGAUUCUCAUUUUUUCCCCUUACCUCUGCCCUCCCUUCACCCCCUCCUCCCCUCCCCAUCUACAAACACUUUAUUUUUAAUCUUUUCAUUCUCUCACAUGUUUUUCUGGGAAAAGUUUUCUUAAUCUUAAAAAUAGUCCCAAAGAAAAUGAUGGUACUUCUUCAGCCUCUAAACAUAUAAUGUCUGGAUGUGAUGUCUGGAACCUAAGCAGCUCUCUUGCAACCAUGAGGGCAGCUAUUGCACUUGAGGAACAAACCAAUACCCUGAAGAGAGUGGAGCAGAGAGACGGAUGGGACCUGAGUCUGAAAAUGUAGUAAAUCCACUUACUUUCCCUCCCUCCAGUCAUCAGCCCUCAGGCUUUGUUUGUGAAAU
rnacentral:lncRNA from 1 species